rnacentral:rRNA from 1 species
GAUGAACGCUGGCGGCGUGCUUAACACAUGCAAGUCGAACGAUGAACCUCACUUGUGGGGGGAUUAGUGGCGAACGGGUGAGUAACACGUGAGUAACCUGCCCUUGACUCUGGGAUAAGCCUGGGAAACUGGGUCUAAUACCGGAUAUGACUUGUCACCGCAUGGUGGUGGGUGGAAAGCUUUUGUGGUUUUGGAUGGACUCGCGGCCUAUCAGCUUGUUGGUGGGGUAAUGGCCUACCAAGGCGACGACGGGUAGCCGGCCUGAGAGGGUGACCGGCCACACUGGGACUGAGACACGGCCCAGACUCCUACGGGAGGCAGCAGUGGGGAAUAUUGCACAAUGGGCGCAAGCCUGAUGCAGCGACGCCGCGUGAGGGAUGAAGGCCCUAGGGUUGUAAAGCUCUUUUGUGCGGGAAGAUAAUGACGGUACCGCAAGAAUAA